rnacentral:rRNA from 1 species
CCUACGGGAGGCAGCAGUGGGGAAUAUUGCACAAUGGGCGAAAGCCUGAUGCAGCGACGCCGCGUGAGGGAUGACGGCCUUCGGGUUGUAAACCCCUUUCAGCAGGGACGAAGCGCAAGUGACGGUACCUGCAGAAGAAGCACCGGCUAACUACGUGCCAGCAGCCGCGGUAAUACGUAGGGUGCAAGCGUUGUCCGGAAUUACUGGGCGUAAAGAGUUCGUAGGCGGUUUGUCGCGUCGUUUGUGAAAACCAGCAGCUCAACUGCUGGCUUGCAGGCGAUACGGGCAGACUUGAGUACUGCAGGGGAGACUGGAAUUCCUGGUGUAGCGGUGAAAUGCGCAGAUAUCAGGAGGAACACCGGUGGCGAAGGCGGGUCUCUGGGCAGUAACUGACGCUGAGGAACGAAAGCGUGGGUAGCGAACAGGAUUAGAUACCUGGUAGUCCACGCCGUAAACGGUGGGCGCUAGGUGUGGGUUCCUUCCACGGAAAUCCGUGCCCGUAGCUAACGCAUUAAGCGCCCCGCCUGGGGAGUUACGGCCGCAAGGCUAAAACUCAAAGGAAUUGACGGGG